AGUUUGAUUCUGGCUCAGAUUGAACGCUGGCGGAUGCUUUACACAUGCAAGUCGAACGGCAGCAUCGACUUCGGUCUGGUGGCGAGUGGCGAACGGGUGAGUAAUGUAUCGGAACGUGCCUAGUAGCGGGGGAUAACUACGCGAAAGCGUAGCUAAUACCGCAUACGCCCUUCGGGGGAAAGCGGGGGGACCUUCGGGCCUCGCACUAUUAGAGCGGCCGAUAUCGGAUUAGCUAGUUGGUGGGGUAACGGCUCACCAAGGCGACGAUCCGUAGCUGGUUUGAGAGGAGACCAGCCACACUGGGACUGGAGACACGGCCCAGACUCCUACGGGAGGCAGCAGUGGGGAAUUUUGGACAAUGGGGAAACCCUGAUCCAGCCAUCCCGCGUGUGCGAUGAAGGCCUUCGGGUUGUAAAGCACUUUUGGCAGGAAAAGAAACGGCACGGGAUAAUACCCCGUGCAACUGACGGUACCUGCAGAAUAAGCACCGGCUAACUACGUGCCAGCAGCCGCGGUAAUACGUAGGGUGCAAGCGUUAAUCGGAAUUACUGGGCGUAAAGCGUGCGCAGGCGGUUCGGAAAGAAAGAUGUGAAAUCCCAGAGCUUAACUUUGGAACUGCAUUUUUAACUACCGAGCUAGAGUGUGUCAGAGGGAGGUGGAAUUCCGCGUGUAGCAGUGAAAUGCGUAGAUAUGGAGGAACACCGAUGGCGAAGGCAGCCUCCUGGGAUAACACUGACGCUCAUGCACGAAAGCGUGGGGAGCAAACAGGAUUAGAUACCCUGGUAGUCCACGCCCUAAACGAUGUCAACUAGCUGUUGGGGCCUUCGGGCCUUGGUAGCGCAGCUAACGCGUGAAGUUGACCGCCUGGGGAGUACGGUCGCAAGAUUAAAACUCAAAGGAAUUGACGGGGACCCGCACAAGCGGUGGAUGAUGUGGAUUAAUUCGAUGCAACGCGAAAAACCUUACCUACCCUUGACAUGUCUGAAUCCCGAAGGAGAUUUGGGAGUGCUCGCAAGAGAACCGAACACAGGUGCUGCAUGGCUGCUGUCAGCUCGUGUCGUAGGAUGUUGGGUUAAGUCCCGCAACGAGCGCAACCCUUGUCAUUAUUGCUACGAAAGGGCACUCUAUCGAGACUGCCGGUGACAAACCGGAGGAAGGUGGGGAUGACGUCAAGUCCGCGGCUCCAGUGGGUAGGGCUUCACACGUCAUACAAUGGUCGGGACAGAGGGUCGCCAACCCGCGAGGGGGAGCCAAUCCCAGAAACCCGAUCGUAGUCCGAUCGCAGUCUGCAACUCGACUGCGUGAAGUCGGAAUCGCUAUAAUCGCGGAUCAGCAUGUCGCGGUGAAUACGUUCCUGGGUCUUGUACACACCGCCUGUCACACCAUGGGAGUGGGUUUUACCAGAAGUAGUUAGCCUAACCGUAAGGAGGGCGAUUACCACUGUAGGAUUCAUGACUGGGGUGAAGUCGUAACAAGGUAA
rnacentral:rRNA from 1 species